rnacentral:rRNA from 1 species
UGGGGAAUAUUGGACAAUGGGCGAAAGCCUGAUCCAGCAAUACCGAGUGAGUGAUGAAGGCCCUAGGGUUGUAAAGCUCUUUUAGCAAGGAAGAUAAUGACGUUACUUGCAGAAAAAGCCCCGGCUAACUCCGUGCCAGCAGCCGCGGUAUGACGGAGGGGGCUAGCGUUGUUCGGAAUUACUGGGCGUAAAGAGUGCGUAGGCGGUUUAGUAAGUUGGAAGUGAAAGCCCGGGGCUUAACCUCGGAAUUGCUUUCAAAACUACUAAUCUAGAGUGUAGUAGGGGAUGAUGGAAUUCCUAGUGUAGAGGUGAAAUUCUUAGAUAUUAGGAGGAACACCGGUGGCGAAGGCGGUCAUCUGGGCUACAACUGACGCUGAUGCACGAAAGCGUGGGGAGCAAACA